UACAUAUUAAAAAAAGCUAAUUACGAGACGUCAUCUUAAAAGAGCUCUAGCUCCCUAGGGGCAUUUUCGAACAAAGUGAAGUUUUCUGGACACCCUAUAUACCAAUGAUAAUAGAAGUUUCACUUCAAGCGAUAUUUGGAAUUCCACACGUUCUAAGAACAAUUUUUAUCAAAAAGUAGCGUUUGUUAUCCUCUUCUAUGACGUUGUAUGUGGUAAACUCAAAGGAAGUGAUGAGGAAAUGCUCCAUUAACAAUUGAACGCUUUCAAGAAACACAUUCGACAUUUUUUUAUUAUUGUAACGGGAAAUGUACAACGAGUUAUUGAUAAUAAUUAUUAUGUAAAGUAAACAUGUAACAGUAAA
rnacentral:lncRNA from 1 species